AACUUGUUAGCUUGACAUGAGACCAUCCCCAUCCUACGUCCAAGCCAUGCUAAACCUAAAUGUCUCUAACCUAACCUAACUUUAAUGACUCUAGACUCUCCUCACAUCCCUGCAUAAGGUCUCCCUCACAUAUCCAUCUUCUGCCUCCCCAGCCAGCAGGUCUCAAUCACUUUUCAAAGCCAAGGUCAAACAUCAGUCCUAGAGGACAGGUUUUUCUGAUUUCCUCAAGCAGAGUUGGUCAUUCCUUCUAAAUUAGAUUCUAAAAAAAAAAAAAAAAAUGUUCAUGACAUUUAUCACUGCUCUUAUAUACUCGUUGGAAAUUUGUUUUCACUGUUUCCUCUAGGAGACUGUGAGCUCCUCGAGGACAGGGCUGGGGUCCUCUUUGCAGUUCUCAGGCUGAGUGCAGUGUCGAGAAUACCAAGAGCCCUCUGCAUGCAGUCUGGAAGGAGGAAUGAGGCAUGGAUUAAUUUUUCUGGGCCAGAUUGGAGCUUCAGUUUCCUCCACAUUUUUGCAGGAUGGAGUGAGUGGACUAAAUGCAGGUACUGCUGCCAAUGACUUGUGUUGUCUUGCCUACGAAUGGCUGGGGUAGAGGAGGUUGUCCUCCUCACAGCCUUUGUCUCUGUCCCUCUCGUACACACACACACACACAUUUUCUCUAUACUGAAACUGUAUUUUAGACAAAUUAAAGGACUGUUUUAUGAAAUUUCUCUCUGAAAAACAUAAACAAGAAAUUGGAAAAAAAAUUUAAAAAAAGAAGUUAAAACACGAAAUUUCCCUAUGCUUGUAAAAUGCUUUGGUGUAUUGCUGGGUGACAGAUAUGUCCCUUGACACGUUAUUUUUCCUUCAAAGGAAAAACUGAAACUAACUCCCAUAAUGGGUGAAUGAUUCAGUAUAUUAUAAACAUACUUAUAUGACUGGGCCUUUGUGCAACUAUUAGAGAUGUUCACAGAGGGAUUUUUUAAUG
rnacentral:lncRNA from 1 species